rnacentral:rRNA from 1 species
ACGAACGCUGGCGGCGUGCCUAAUACAUGCAAGUAGAACGCUGAAGGAGGAGCUUGCUUCUCCGGAUGAGUUGCGAACGGGUGAGUAACGCGUAGGUAACCUGCCUGUUAGCGGGGGAUAACUAUUGGAAACGAUAGCUAAUACCGCAUAACAGUAGAUGUUGCAUGACAUUUGCUUAAAAGGUGCAAUUGCAUCACUACCAGAUGGACCUGCGUUGUAUUAGCUAGUUGGUGAGGUAACGGCUCACCAAGGCGACGAUACAUAGCCGACCUGAGAGGGUGAUCGGCCACACUGGGACUGAGACACAGCCCAGACUCCUACGGGAGGCAGCAGUAGGGAAUCUUCGGCAAUGGACGGAAGUCUGACCGAGCAACGCCGCGUGAGUGAAGAAGGUUUUCGGAUCGUAAAGCUCUGUUGUAAGAGAAGAACGAGUGGGAGAGUGGAAAGUUCACACUGUGACGGUAUCUUACCAGAAAGGGACGGCUAACUACGUG